GGCCUCAUGCAGUCAAAAUCUGAAGCCAAUGGAACAGCCAUUGCUGAGUUCAUUCUGCUGGGCCUGGUGGAAACACCAGAGUUUCAACCACUUGUCUUUGUGCUCUUCCUCUUGGCCUACAUGUUCACAGUUGGGGGCAACCUCAGCAUCCUGGCUGCCAUCUUGGUGGAGCCCAAACUCCACACGCCCAUGUACUUCUUCCUGGGAAACCUGUCAGUACUGGAUGUUGGCUGCAUCACUGUCACUAUUCCCUCGAUGUUGAGUCGUCUCUUGUCCCACAAGCGUACGGUUCCUUAUGAAGCCUGCCUUACACAGAUCUUCUUUUUCCAUCUCCUGGUUGGAGUGGACUGUUUCCUGUUGACAGCCAUGGCCUAUGACAGAUUCCUGGCCAUUUGUAGACCUCUCACCUAUAGCACUCGCAUGAAUCAGGUUGUUCAGAGGAUAUUGGUGGCCAUGUCCUGGGUUUGUGCCUUUAGCAAUGCACUGACCCACACUGUGGCCAUGUCCACACUCCAUUUCUGCGGUCCCAAUGUGAUAAAUCACUUCUACUGUGACCUUCCACAGCUUUUCCAGCUCUCUUGCUCCAGCACCCAAGUCAAUGAGCUGCUGCUCUUUGCCUUGGGUUUCAUAAUGGCAGGCACCCCCAUGGCUCUCAUUGUAACUUCCUAUGCCCAUGUGGCAGCUGCAGUUCUGAGAAUCCGUUCAGUGGAGGGAAGAAAGAAGGCCUUCUCCACCUGUGGUGCCCACCUCACUGUGGUUACCAUAUUCUAUGGCUCAGGUAUCUUUAACUACAUGCGACUAGGCUCAGUCAAGCUCUCAGAUAAGGAUAAAGCUGUUGGAAUUUUUAACACUGUCGUUAACCCUAUGCUGAACCCUAUUAUCUACAGUCUCAGGAAUCCCGAUGUGCAGAAUGCAGUCAGGCGAGUGUUUGUGGGGAGGCGAUCACUGGCCUGAGGAGGUCUUGUCUGUUGCUUCUUUUAG